CCUACGGGAGGCAGCAGUGGGGAAUUUUGGACAAUGGGCGCAAGCCUGAUCCAGCAAUGCCGCGUGAGUGAAGAAGGCCUUCGGGUUGUAAAGCUCUUUUGUCAGGGAAGAAACGGUGGGGGCUAAUAUCUCCUACUAAUGACGGUACCUGAAGAAUAAGCACCGGCUAACUACGUGCCAGCAGCCGCGGUAAUACGUAGGGUGCAAGCGUUAAUCGGAAUUACUGGGCGUAAAGCGUGCGCAGGCGGUUUUGUAAGUCUGUCGUGAAAGCCCCGGGCUCAACCUGGGAAUUGCGAUGGAGACUGCAAGGCUUGAAUCUGGCAGAGGGGGGUAGAAUUCCACGUGUAGCAGUGAAAUGCGUAGAGAUGUGGAGGAACACCGGAUGGCGAAGGCAGCCCCCUGGGUCAAGAUUGACGCUCAUGCACGAAAGCGUGGGGAGCAAACAGGAUUAGAUACCCUGGUAGUCCACGCCCUAAACGAUGUCUACUAGUUNUCGGGUUUUAAUUAACUUGUAACGCAGCUAACGCGUGAGUAGACCGCCUGGGGAGUACGGUCGCGAAGUAGUAAACUUACGAAGUAAGUUAGAGNGNGNGAGNGCGAGGACGACGACGAGGAGAGG
rnacentral:rRNA from 1 species